GCCUGCACAGCUCAGUUGGGGAGAGUGCGGUGUUAAAAAUGCCAAGGAUGCAGGUUUGAUCCCUGUAUUGGGACA